GUGGGGGCACAUCCCAGCUCUGCACGCCGGACACACAGCCUGCGUGGAGGGCCUGAGGUCUCUUUUCUGUGCCCUAAUGCUGGAGGCCUAUGGUCUCUGUCUGUCUUGGAAACCACUCAGUUUCCUCUUGAGAGGUUGAUGUCCUGGUUCAAAACAUAGAUUCUGGGACCCACCCACAUGAUUCCAGUCAGUACGGGUGUGGCCCAGGAACCUGCAUUGUUGAUGAACUUCCCUGGUGAUUCUUACACAAGCUAGAGCUUGAGAACACUGAGGCAGAGUUUGCAACCAUCCUGCAGAGGACGUGUGAAUGGCCCAGGACAGGCCAAAGGGCAGGAGGUGGUAUAUGCCUAAGUGCGCCCCCCUCCCCACCUGACAGCUGAGGCAGGAAUGUCAGCCAUCUCACAGAGUUACCAUGAACAUCAAGUCAUCGAAGCCCAAAGUGCCAGGCACGUCGGAGUCACCUUAACCAACUCCUAUAGAACUCAGGACAAUACCCAGACUUCCUGGAUCUCUGGAUGUGGCGUCUGGGAACACACAUUUGGAACAAGCUUGUGUUCCUAAGGUAUGGGAAAGUUUGGGGCUGCUCUUGCCUCAGCCUGGAUUGCCCUUGCUCGGAGAGACAAAGGGCUUACUCCAUUCAGCUCUGUUUAAAUGUCUGCUCCUUGGAGAGGUCUCUGCUGACCACCUGACCCUAAUAGUUGCCUCACUAUUUUCAGUCCUCUUGAUGGCCUUGACUUUUCACCAUAAAGUACUCAGGACCUGACA